GGGCCCGUAGUCUAGCCUGGGAGGACGCCGCCCUUACACGGCGGAGGUCCGGGGUUCAAAUCCCCGCGGGCCCACCA
rnacentral:tRNA from 1 species